AUUGAACGCUGGCGGCAUGCUUUACACAUGCAAGUCGAACGGUAACAGGUUAAGCUGACGAGUGGCGAACGGGUGAGUAAUGCAUCGGAACGUGCCCGGUCGUGGGGGAUAACGCAGCGAAAGCUGCGCUAAUACCGCAUACGAUCUGAGGAUGAAAGCGGGGGACCGUAAGGCCUCGCGCGAUCGGAGCGGCCGAUGUCAGAUUAGGUAGUUGGUGGGGUAAAGGCUCACCAAGCCAACGAUCUGUAGCUGGUCUGAGAGGACGACCAGCCACACUGGGACUGAGACACGGCCCAGACUCCUACGGGAGGCAGCAGUGGGGAAUUUUGGACAAUGGGCGAAAGCCUGAUCCAGCAAUGCCGCGUGCAGGAAGAAGGCCUUCGGGUUGUAAACUGCUUUUGUACGGAGCGAAAGGGUCUCCUCUAAUACAGGGGGCUCAUGACGGUACCGUAAGAAUAGGCACCGGCUAACUACGUGCCAGCCGCCGCAGUAA
rnacentral:rRNA from 1 species